rnacentral:rRNA from 1 species
UACGUAGGGCGCAAGCGUUGUCCGGAAUUAUUGGGCGUAAAGAGCUCGUAGGCGGCUUGUCACGUCGGAUGUGAAAGCCCGGGGCUUAACUCCGGGUCUGCAUUCGAUACGGGCUGGCUAGAGUGUGGUAGGGGAGAUCGGAAUUCCUGGUGUAGCGGUGAAAUGCGCAGAUAUCAGGAGGAACACCGGUGGCGAGGGCGGAUCUCUGGGCCAUUACUGACGCUGAGGAGCGAAAGCGUGGGGAGCGAACAGG